AGUGAACGCUGGCGGUAGGCCUAACACAUGCAAGUCGAACGGCAGCACAGUAAGAGCUUGCUCUUACGGGUGGCGAGUGGCGGACGGGUGAGGAAUACAUCGGAAUCUACUUUUUCGGGGGGGAUAACGUAGGGAAACUUACGCUAAUACCGCAGACGACCUACGGGUGAAAGCAGGGGAUCGUCUGAGCUUGCGCGAUUGAAUGAGCCGAUGUCGGAUUAGCUAGUUGGCGGGGUAAAGGCCCACCAAGGCGACGAUCCGUAGCUGGUCUGAGAGGAUGAUCAGCCACACUGGAACUGAGACACGGUCCAGACUCCUACGGGAGGCAGCAGUGGGAAAUAUUGGACAAUGGGCGCAAGCCUGAUCCAGCCAUACCGCGUGGGUGAAGAAGGCCUUCGGGUUGUAAAGCCCUUUUGUUGGGAAAGAAAAGCAGCAGGUUAAUACCCCGCUGUUCUGACGGUACCCAAAGAAUAAGCACCGGCUAACUUCGUG
rnacentral:rRNA from 1 species